rnacentral:lncRNA from 1 species
UUGGAAGUUCGGAGGAGGAAGUGGUGGACUUUGUUUUGGUGGAGUCCCGGAUGGUGGUGGUGUAUCAGGUGGUGAAAUUUUUGGUGGUGGAAUCUCAGGUGAAGUAAUCUCGGGUGGUUCGAUUUGUGGUGGUGAAAUCUUUGGUGGUGGAAUCUCAGGUGGCGUAAUCUCGGGUGGUGUAAUCUCCGGGGGAGUAAUCUCAGGUGGCGUAAUCUCGGAUGGUUCGAUUUGUGGUGGUGAAAUCUUUGGUGGUGGACUUUCUGGUGGUGUAAUUUCUGGUGGUUCAAUUUUAGGUGGUUGGAUCUCCGGAGGAGUAAUCUCAGGUGGUGGAACUUGUGAUGGUGUAAUCUCGGGUGGUGGAGUCUUUGGUUCAGUUUCGGGUGGUGAUAUCUCGGGUGGUGUAAUCUCAGGUGGUUGAAUUUCUGGUGGUGGAAUUUCUGGUAGUGGAGUUAUUGGUUCAGUUUCUGGUGGUGUAACCCCGGGUGGUGGAAUUUUUGG